rnacentral:sRNA from 1 species
GAGGGGGGAGAUUGGAUUGGAUUGGGGUUUGCUGGCAAUGAAUGAUUUUUGAGAGAGAGAGAGAGAGAGAGAGAAAGAGAGAGAGAGAGAGAAAGAGAAAGAGAUUUCUAUUUAUUUACUUUUAUUUAUCUUUACUCUCUCAUUUACGCUUAUGAAGGGAUGAUAAUAUAAACAAAACAGCGUGCCCUCUCGCUUUCCUCUUUCUUUUCAGGCAACAGGCAACUGCAAUUUUGUAGAUCCUACCUACCCCUCAAAAAGCACGAUAUCCAGCUUCAGCUACAGCAGAGCGAAAUACCCUGAUAACUAACAAUGGAUAAUAAAACUGGGCU